CGAAACGUCCAUACCACGUUGAAUACACCGGUUCCCGACCGAUCACGUUAAGCAACGUCGGGCGCGGUCAGUACUUGGAUGGGUUACCACCUGAGAACACCGCGUGAUGUUAGCU
rnacentral:rRNA from 1 species